GAUGAACGCUGGCGGCGUGCCUAAUACAUGCAAGUAGAACGCUGAAGGAGGAGCUUGCUCUUCUGGAUGAGUUGCGAACGGGUGAGUAACGCGUAGGUAACCUGCCUGGUAGCGGGGGAUAACUAUUGGAAACGAUAGCUAAUACCGCAUGACAACAGUUAUUGCAUGAUAACUGUUUAAAAGGGGCAACUGCUCCACUACCAGAUGGACCUGCGUUGUAUUAGCUAGUUGGUGAGGUAACGGCUCACCAAGGCGACGAUACAUAGCCGACCUGAGAGGGUGAUCGGCCACACUGGGACUGAGACACGGCCCAGAGUCCUUCGGGAGGCAGCAGUAGGGAAUCGGCGGCAAUGGACGGAAGACUGACCGAGCAACGCCGCGUGAGUGAAGAAGGUUUUCGGAUCGGAAAGCUCUGUUGUAAGAGAAGAACGAGUGUGAGAGUGGAAAGUUCACACUGUGACGGUAUCUUACCAGAAAGGGACGGCUAACUACGUG
rnacentral:rRNA from 1 species